rnacentral:rRNA from 1 species
GACGAACGCUGGCGGCGUGCUUAACACAUGCAAGUCGAACGGAAAGGCCAUGCUUUUGUGGGGUGCUCGAGUGGCGAACGGGUGAGUAACACGUGAGUAACCUGCCCUUGACUUUGGGAUAACUUCAGGAAACUGGGGCUAAUACCGGAUCGGAGCUCCUGCUGCAUGGAGGGGGUUGGAAAGUUUCGGCGGUUGGGGAUGGACUCGCGGCUUAUCAGCUUGCUGGUGGGGUAGUGGCUUACCACGGCUUUGACGGGUAGCCGGCCUGAGAGGGUGACCGGCCACAUUGGGACUGAGAUACGGCCCAGACUGCUACGGGAGGCAGCAGUGGGGAAUAUUGCACAAUGGGCGGAAGCCUGAUGCAGCAGCGCCGCGUGCGGGAUGACGGCCUUCGGGUUGUAAACCGCUUUCGCCUGUGACGAAGCGUGAGUGACGGUAAUGGGUAAAGAAGCACCGGCUAACUACGUG